GUGUGUGUGUGUAUGUGUGUGUGUGUGUGUGUGUACAUGUACGUGUGUGUAAGGAGGUUCUUCUGUUCAUUCUCUGUACCUGAAGCUGAAACACUGUUACUGCUAGCUCUCCAUCUAGAACCAAGGACUUCCAGUCGCACAAUUUUCUGUCUCAUUGUUUGUCUUUCUGUAUCUCUCUCUCUCUCUCUCUCUCUCUCUCUCUCUCUCUCUCUCUCUCUCUCUCUCUCUCUCUCUCCCUCUUUCUUUCUCAGGAGGUUGAGAGUGUGGGAUGUGUCUCUUCCUUCUCCUUUCCAGAGUAAACUGAUGGACGCUGUUUACCAGGUUCACGCCGAGAGCCUGCUCUCCUACACAGAGAUGAUGGAUCGAGCGUGUGUCCUGGAGAACGUGCAGCUGAAUCUCCAUCCCAAUGAUCCGGAACCUGAUGAUGAUGGACCAAACCGCUACGUUUCCCAAGAGGGGCGCGCCGUGCCUGAUUUCACUACACAGACGUGGCACUGUACUUCAUUUCCAGCAUGUUCUUCUGAACGCACAGGAUUUGAAGUGUUAUUGUGUGACGGGAGAUUUGCCCACCUCGCCUCUGCUUCCCAUGAUGCCGUGCUCAGAGUGUUGUACUUGAGUCCCUGACUUUACGCAAAUUAUGUCCUACAAAGAAUGCCUAUAUCUGUAUCACAUAUACUCUGCACUAUCAUUUGUGAUUAUUACUUCGAGUCAAUGUCUCCUCAACUUGCUCAGCGACAGCAAAACUCAAGACGUGAAAAGAAGAGAGAAGAGAAAGAAGACAAAGGAGAAUCAAAUCCGUCCUUCUUCUUCUUCCCAGACCGGCCGACCGGCGGGAGAACCAGAUUGUAGCCGUGCUAGGCAAAGGCAAGCUGAUGUCCAACGCCUAGCAAAUGCACACAGACUUUUACACACAAUUGAAGAACAGGUUGAAGACAUUGAACAAAGUGAAGUAAAUAUGUUAAGGUUGAAUGCUAAUCUGAAGGGGAUGAGAAAAGAAGCAAGUAAGAAACAUGAUAAAGUUGGUAGGCGCAUGAGGGCGCACAAAAGGGCGAUUUACCGCCAAUAUGGAGCACUGGAGGCAGAACAAAUCUUCCUUGCUGCUCAGUCUAAUUCUACUGUAAAUAAUCCAGGUAAAUCUAUCCAUGAAGAGAUAGAACUCAGUCGCCACUCAGUGGCUUGCUCAGUUGGGAUAAAUUCACACCUUUAAUAUCUGUAUACCGUGUUGAUAUUUCUGUAAAGCUGCUUUGAGACAAUGUCUAUUGUAAAAAGUGCUAUUCAAAUAAAAUUGAAUUGAAUCGAACAAUCCUGUGUUAAAUUACUUGGCCUUGAAAUCUCAACUCUGAAGGAUCGCUCAGACCCAUUUAAUCCUCACCUCAGUGAGAGAACAGGAUGUCUCUAAAAAAGGGUCAUGUAAAGUUCAUG